rnacentral:tRNA from 1 species
GUGGGUGUAGCUCAGUUGUAGAGCAUCUGCUUAGCAUGCACUAGGUCCUGGGUUCAAUCCCUAGUACCUCCA